CUGAAAACUGUUGUGUGUGUAUGUGAGUAACUUUUUAAUUUUUAAUCACCAAUAACGCAAUCUUAUUUUUGAAUACAGGGACUUUUAAGAAGAUUAUUUAGAAUGUUUAAUAAAAAUUGCAAGAGCCAUAAAUAUUGAAUGAUGAAAAUUGAUAAAAUAUGAAAAAAGUUUAUGAAGUUUUCAAUAUUUUAAGUGCACAAACGAGAAGACGGCGAAAAAAAAAAAUCAAGCGAAUGAGAGAACAGAAAGAAAAUCGCGCUUCUCAUAGUAUAUUCAGUCAAGUGACGUAAAAAGCUUUUAGCUCUUGUAGCUUUCCACCUCCCACUCCGCGGCCGUUAACCGUUUUGCCGGACUCAUUUACCCUCAUUUUGUCUGGACGUGGAACAGUCGGAGUGUGGUGGUAAAGAAAACAGGGAACCUUUUUAAAAAUGAAGGGAUUUACUGGAUACGAGGAGCUCUGGAAGGCAUACAGCCAUAUAAUCGAGAGAAAUGGUUCGGUUGCUACUACCGUCUCUGCUCGUACAUUGACUUCUUAAUGGAACCAGCUUAGUCUUGUGUUGGCUAACAUAACCCUACGUCUUCGGCCAUAUAGAGCAUGCGUUGAGGAGGUAAGGAGAGAGAGCCUUCACCUCCGCGUGCGUGUUAUGUUUAUUGCAUAUAUGCCUUCGGGACCGACAGCCAUUAACUUUUGUCAUUUCGCCCUCAGUUUUUUUUUGGACCUUCUUAUAUAAAAUAUUAUAUAUAUAUACGCGUGUGUAUUUGCUAGCAGCGGAGAGAGUGUGUGUGAUAGUGCGUUCAUUUAUCGUCAGCUCAAACGGAUUACAUUUUUCUCUAUGUUUUUUUUCUCAUUGUCUUUUUUGCCUUCUUUUACGUCCACCCUUCACUCUUAACUCUUCCCCUUUACAGCCACACCGGCCCAACUGUUUAGAAAACAUAUAACACCAUUGCGACGACGUCUAGGUUUAUGGCAAUAUUCGGAAGUGAGAAAAAAUAACAGCUCGCUUCUAAUUUCGGUAUCGACUACGUAGAAAAAUAAAUUGUACAUAUUUCCAGAUCUUCCGAGAGUUGGUUUUUUUCUCGUUCUAUUUUUCAUACUCGCCAAUCACAAACAUUCGAUCGUUAUACCGUACAAAUGUUUAUACCCAACCGUAUAGUGUAGUCUGUCAUAAAGUUUGUUACACGUGUAUGGUGUAAUGUUUCUCAUAAGACGAACGAACGUGACCAAGUCCGUGUUUGUUUAGAGGAUUUAAUAAAUCCAGUUGUUUAUACAUUUUUUAAUUUCAGGUCAUGCUUUGAUACACACACGCGUUAAUUUCAUUGUUAAAGACUAGUUAAAAUUUCUUAAUAUUUACUGUAGAACGACAGCAAUAAUCGAACGGUUAGUUUUAUGAAACGUUUGUUUUUUAUAGAAACCUCUUCCAUUUAAGGUUUGUUGUCAUUUCGUUGAUGCCGGUAACCUAUUGCGGCACUAAGCGCAUAAUGAUAAUGUUAUUGAAACGUUAUCGGAUGAGGAACGUUAACGAUAUUUAUUUACUAAAUCUCUUUUCUCUCAACGCAAUUACGUACUACGUCUACGCAAUAAUAAUCCCUCCAGAAUCGACGACGUUAAUCAGCGAAUGUAAACAGUAUACGGGAAGGUUUUUUUAUCUUUACCGCAAAAUCGUUUUUUUUUUUUAAUGUAUCAGACCCGAAAAAAUAGGGUUUGUCAGCGAUUAGUCCGGUAACGGAAGAGAUGGCACACACAGACCGAUCAAUAUGUGUUCCAGUAUAAUUUAUAUAUGUAUUUGCGUCGGAGUAAAAAAAUAAAACAAAAUAAAUAAAAGAAUCGUUUUAAUUCGAGAGUUUGAUAGUGGUAUGUGCGCAGCCAAUAAAUCUCCAAUGCCUAAUAUAGUACACAAGCAGAAAAUAGCAGCGACGUCCUAUGCACACGAGACGUAUAUAACCGAUAAAGCACACCGAUGUUGGAUGGCAUUUCGGGAGUAUGAGACGGAGAGAGGAAGAGUAAAAAAAAAAAAAGAACCGAAGGGAUUCUGUUAGAAAAAAAUGUCCUCGGGGAGUCGUCGGAAUCGGUUGAUUGUCCUUACCCUUCGCGACGGCAGCGGUGGCGUAUCUAAUCCCUUGCCCGACUAUGGUUUUCAGUACAAGUGUAGUGUAUACACAUAUAGAUACGAAUGUGCGUGUGGAUGUAAGUGUACGGCUGAUGUCCAAAAUCGCUCCCUCGAUCUACUUACCCGCGUCCUCCACUUGCCAUCGUUAAACUCCUCUGCCACGCAUACCAUGACCGGCGGUGGGUUUAUUUUCGCCAUUGGUCACGUAAAUAGUUAAUGGUUCGGAAAAAUAAAGGCGACAAAGAAAACAACACAUUCGUCCGGGAAAACAUACGGUUCGAACGAGAAAGACAGAAAAAACGGAUUGUUGUAGUUGACCCGGUGGCCGCGGUUUUUUACUGUUUGUUCGGGUAGUCUCUCUGUUUUUCUACGAGUAACAAAAUUAAUGAGAAAAAUGACCCAAAAGAAAGCGAAAUAUCUGUGGAAAACGCACGGAAGACGAAAAACGAAGAAAAUUAUGUUUAUAUGUAUAUACUGGUUUAUUAUAAAACUUUUUUAUUUUUUUUAAGAAACAAAUAGUUUGAUUUUGCCAAUUUUCGCGUUAAAUACAGUAAAUACUACAUUUCACAGAAAAUAAUAUUGUAUUUUAUUCCGCAUGAGCAUAAUUUAACGGGCAUUAACGAACUAAAGAUAUUUUUUGUACUCAGGAUCCAUUCGCCAAUGACUAUAAGUGAUCUGGUUCGUCAAGUGCUUCGGCGACGCGAUUGUCGAACAAAGUGUUCUCCCGUUUCAAUAUUUUGUCCAGAAUUAUUCAUCUGAGGCAACGAAAAUAGGGUGCAAAUUAAAUUACUAGCCCACAUCUUAUACAUGCUAAAAAGCCAUUGAGCACCUGCGAUCGCACGUUCUUCUCCCUAACAACCUACGUGACACCUGAGCUCACAAUAUUUUAUUAUUACCAUAAAAGCACGUAGUGCAACGUGUAAUUUUCGCGUAACAAUAUUUAUACUGGUAAAUCAUCUAAACAAAAAAAAGAUAAUUAUUUUAGCCGCGAUCGUUGCUUUACUAUCAAUACCUAUUAUGAUAUUCUCGAGAAAGCGCACAUCAGCAUUGCAACGUUGGAUUUCGUUUUAUUUUUUAUUCUCACACAAUUUAUACCUUUGUGUAUUUAUACAAUAUAUAUAUACACAUCUUUGUGUGCGAGUGCGUUUACGAUUCCUUAUAUACAUACAAAUACAUUGGCGGUCUUAGAAUAAACUCACAUAUAUACGUAUUUAUGAGUCACGGAUGUGUAUAUUAAAUUUAAAAGUUCAACGAAACCACUUUGCACCCCAGAAUAUUGCUUAUAUUAUAUACUUUGUACUUACGUGAAUGUUGCCAUUGAU